ensembl:lncRNA
UAUCCUGAGUUGGAAGGAACCCACAAAGAUCAUUGAGUCCUACUCCUGGCUCCACACACCACCACUUGAAAUUCAAACCCUACGUCUGAGAGCGGUGUCUGAACACUCCAUGAACUCCGGCAGCCUGAGGCUGUGACCACAGCACUGGGGAGCCUUCCAUGCCCGCCUCCCUCCGGUUCAGAACCUCUCCCUAACCCCCACCUGCCCCUCCCCUGACAGCUCCAUGCCAUUCUCUCGGGCCCUGUCGCUGUCACCAGAGAGCAGAGCUCAGCGCUGCCCCCUGUGAGGAGCUGCAGCCACCGUGAGGCCUCUCCUCAGCUUCUCUGCUCUGGGCUGAACAAACCCAGGGACCUGAGCCAUGCCUCACACAUCUUGCCCUGCAGACUCUCCACCAUCAUCACAGCCCUCCUUUGGGUGCUCUCCAAUAGCUUUAUUUCCUUCUUACAUCGUGGCUCCAAACUUGCACCCAGUGCUGGAGGUGAGGUCACACAGCGCAAAGCAGAGUGGGACAACCCUCUCUCGGUAGCAGUGUUGGGCCUGAUGUACCCCAGGGCAGGGUUGGCCUUUUUGGCUGCCAGGGCACACUUGCUGGCUCGGAUUCAGCCUGCCAUCAGCCAGAACGCCCAGAUCCCUGUCUGCAGGGCUGCUCUCCAGCACUUGCCCCCACUGGAGCAAACUCAAGCCUGACCAGAACUCUGUACAAACGUGACACCAGCAGGGUCAGUGUCCAGAAACAACAUUUGGGGGUUGAUUUAUGUGGCCCACGGCUGCGUUGGCCAUUCCUGUCACUGAGACCACGGUGUGGACAGAAGUCUGUUUUGGGGGAGGGAGAGACGCCAGGGGCCGGGACCCCCGUGGGGGGGCGGCUGAAGGAGGCGGGGGUGGCGAGGCCAUCCGCGGAGGCAACGCGGCUCCGGGCCAGCCGCCCGCUCUCCCUGCGGGGCCGGCCGAGCCGAGCGGUGCCGAUCCGCUCCGAGCAUUGCCGCACGUGGCAAAGGAUCGCAUAUGCUGCAGUGUCUUUGUGGCAAGAGUCUUAAGAAAAACAAGAACCAAACUGAGGGAGAUGCUGUACAUCUAGAAGGUGAUUGGCCAGAUGAAGUGGCUGUGUGCAGACUGAGCUGUGCUGAGUACUCACAGACGUCAGGCUGCAGUGUGCCUGUAGCACCGCGUCCUGCUGGAGCGGGCUCCUUGCGGCCGGGGGUGAUCUUGUUACUUCGGGAGCAGUGGC